rnacentral:rRNA from 1 species
UACGAAGGGGGGCUAGCGUUGUUCGGAUUUACUGGGCGUAAAGCGCACGUAGGCGGAUCGUUAAGUCAGGGGUGAAAUCCCGGGGCUCAACCCCGGAACUGCAUUGGAUACUGCCUUGCUCGAGUACUGGAGAGGGAACUGGAAUUUACGGUGUAGCAGUGAAAUGCGUAGAGAUCGUAAGGAAGGCCAGUGGCGAAGGCGAGUUCCUGGACAGUUACUGACGCUGAGGCACGAAGGCCAGGGGAGCAAACGGG